rnacentral:misc_RNA from 1 species
GGGGUCUGCCCUGUGGGCAUUUUAUGCAUUCAGCAUGCUUUCAGGCAUAUGCUUGCACACAUUACAUCUGUCCCAUUUGCAGCAAGUCUAUGGGAGAUAUGUCGGUGUACUUCGGGAUGCUUGAUGCUUUGAUGGCUUCAGAGGUACUACCAGAAGAGUUUAGGAACCGCUGCCAAGAUAUAUUGUGUAACGACUGUGGUAAGAGAGGAACUGCACCAUUCCAUUGGCUAUAUCACAAGUGUGGAUCUUGUGGAUCCUACAAUACCAGAGUGAUAAAGGUGGAAACAAGUCCUAAUUGCUCAAGCUAAUGAGACCAGGUGGAAGGUUUC